UGCUUUGUCUCUCUAUAAUCCAGCUUUACGUCCACAGCUGAGGAUUUGGUUGAGCUUUGCAAGUUCUCCAUUCUACUCUGUGUCCUGAAGACCGUUAGAGCUCCUACAAUGACUGAAGGGUUCACUCAUUUAUUUCCCUUUCUUUGGAGACCACUGUCCUUAGUUGCCUGAUACAUAAAUGUCUUAGAAAAUCUUAUGUUCUGGUCUUUAUAGGUUUUUUUGUUUUGUUUUGUUUUUAAGGAAAGGUUAAUGUGAACAUGUUUCCCUCAUUCUGUUCAACAGCAAAGUCAAGUUUUCAGCCCUGUUGCUCAUUUAGGAGCUUCUCAUCAGAAACAGAAAUCUCAGACCUAAUUCUAAAUUUUGUGUUUUGAUAAACUCUAAUGGAACAGAAGAGUUUUUGCCCUCAGUGACCUACAUGUGUUUUCAAUUGGUGCUCCCUGGCAGAAGAGAUGUGUGCAAGAAUGCUUCUAAGUAGCCUGACCCAAUAGUUCUCACCCACUCAGCAAUGGCUGCUCUAUUCUGUAGCAUUUACUAUAACCCACGCUGUAACUGGAACGCCUCCACACGAGGCUCUUAUAAUAAAAAGUCACGCCAUAAAAAUGGGUGUAGGUUUUUCUUAGCAGACCCAUGGCUUUGCUCUCAAAAUAAACAGCUAAAUCCUAGGCUCCAAAAUUCGUGUUCAACCAACAUCUUGAGGACUUGCGGGGAAGUUUUACUGCUCGCUUGCAGUACUUAUUUUUGUCAAGACUUUUUUUUUUUUUUAAACAACUAGAGCUCCAAAAUUGUUCCUGGGCCUGACUUUAUUUCACAGGAUCAUUUGCUUUUUAAGCAUGUCAGUCAGUUUUGUCUGACUGAUCUACAGAGCUGGAAUUAAACAUUAUUAAUAAAAGUUCCGGCAAUUACAAAGUACCACAUUAAGUCCUCAGUCCAUGUUUUGAAAGGUUCUAGGACGUUAACAUGGAAAUGGUUGUCAGUUUGAGAAAGGAAAAAAUAACCCUAAAUUUUUUUUUAGCUUCGAGUUAAUGUUUCCACUUCAGAGUUACCAGAGUCUGUCUGCAUCCCUUUCCUCCAUGCUACUCAUUCAGGCCUGGGCUGUCCAGAGAAAGAGCAGAACAUCAGCAUCAGCACCAAUCCUGCAUGGCUUCUCUGCACACUUUGAGAGUCAUCCAGGCUUCCUUACACUUUGGAGCCAGACAUUUCUAGGUAGCAGCUUGUCUUAUGCUUCUUAGCUAAGUCCUCUUAGAAUAUGUCCCAUCUUACUUUCUUCUGCUACCGCUUCCUGUGAUUGUAUCCCUGGAUACCCUCUGUAAAGAUGGCAGUUCUCAUAUCCAUUCAGGAAUGCUUUCACAGUCACCCUGUUCCUGUUCAUCAAGAGGACCACUUCUUGUGCCACCCACCGAUGAUUGAUUCCAACCAACACCUGUACCAACAAUCCCCUGCCCUGUGACAAGAGUUGGGAGGUGUCCAGGAGAAUAGUGAUGUUAAGGUCACUACUGUUGAUCUACUGGCCCAGAAUGCUGUUUUGUGAAAUCAAACUCUCUAUUUGUCUAUUUUUCUGUUGUAGUCAUCUGACCCAGAUUUCAAAAGAAAGUAACAUUUGAUCUGAUUUUUAAUAACAAAUAGCAAGUAGGACUUAUCCACAGAGUAUGAAGGUAAAAGAAUUAUGUACAACUAAAGCCUGUGUAGACUAAAGAGCUAUUGGACUCUGGUCACUGCAUAGAGCUACUGGACAGUGUGUCUAGACAGUGAGAGACUAGAUAGAGUCCAAUAGUUCUCCCUAACAAAAUGGCAUCCCAUCUUGAUCUGACUCAUUCCCUGUUAUAGCACAUGCAUUUAUUAUUAACUGACUCUUUCACAGAUCACCACACUUUCAAAGACAGCCUUGAUUCUUCAUCUAAAUAUACUGGUUUCAGAAGAUACACUAAAGGCCCUCUCUGGAGCUAGGUUAAUGUUGGAGCAACUCUAGAAAUUUCCAGGCAUGAUCUACUGGAUCUUCCUCACAUUCCCACUAUGGCUGACCACCCUCUGUAGCUGAGAAGAUAACUUUAAAAUGGAAGACAAUGACAGGAUUCCCCAAGGCCUAAGAAGGGAUACGCCCCCGUGAAACCUCAGCAAUAUGGCUGCCUAAACAAGCCUUGUAUACCAACAAUGCUAGUGGACAUACCAGCAAGAGAGGAGCAAAUCUCGUAAGACCUCACCCCAGAUGAAGAGAUACAGGCAAUUGAGGGCUGCUGAGAAAAGGAAAAUCAGUCUUGUCCAGAAAUGAACCUUCUGACAGUUUAUCCAAUCCCAAGAAGCCAUUCCUAAAUACACAGUGUUGACAAAUACGUUGAAAAUGAUCAACCAAUAUGUGGGAUUUGCAUCCUUUCACCUUCAAACUGAGAAAAUCUUUCUACCAUCUUCAAACAGAAAUGAUGAAGUGAAUGUAAGCUUUUGGGACCCAGCUUUCUUCUGGCUCUCUCUUGGGAGCCUAGAACUGAUUCAUCUGAUGUCUGGCUACCCUCCACCCUUGACAGCACACAGAGGCCAGUGAUGCAGAGGAGCUACAGUGUGUCCAGACCCUGAAUAUCACAAAGUAGAUGGACAUCACCCACUGUGCCCUGAUCACGGGUACAGAGACUCCACGACAUAGCACAUGGACACUUUAUGCACCUACAUUUGAGGAGAUUUGUUAUUCAGAAGUAGCAAUUGUGGCACCCAAUUUGGGGCAUUAGAAAUCAUAUCUGAAUAAGGUAAAGUAUAUCCCUGCUCUUACACAUUUUAUACACUAUGGUUAUAAAACAGAAAAUAUAGAAACUUUCAUCUUAUUAAUUAAAGUAUUCUAUUUUUGAAAACAUCUUAAUUUCAGCAAAACUGACAUGAUAUAAAUUGCACAUAUUUAAAAUGUACAGUUUGAUGAGUUCUGGCAUAUGAGGGUUCAUAUGGAGCCAUCACCACAGAUAAGCCAAUGAACAUACCCAUCACCCCAAAGUUUCCUGCACAGUCUUUCAUUCCUGCCCAGGUUCCCGCUGCUCUGCUUUGUAAUUUCGUAUUCAUUUGCAGUUUUAGAAAUUUUACAUAAAAGGACCAUAUAGCUUGCCUCUUUUGUUGUUGUUCAGUUUCUUCUACUAGGGAGAGUUAUCUGUGAUUCAUUUAUCUGUUGCACAAAUCAAUAACUGCUUCAUUUUUAUUACUGAGGACUCAUCAUCAUUUGGGCAUGUUAUGGUUUAUUUAUGUACUAGGAAUUGUUUCCAGUUUGGGAAUAUCACAAAUGCAACUGUUGAUAUGCACACAUGGUCAAGUAUUUGAAUAGAAAUGCAUUUUCCUUCUCUGUAGAAAAUACUUUGGUAUGGGUUGCCUUCUAGUCUGUAGCCUAAGUACACUGACCAGAGAAUAAUGUGGGACAGUCUCAAGGUGGUUUGUUUGCUACUUUUCAUUCAGCUAUUACUCUAUUUUAUUGCCUAAUAUCCAAUGCCUUGAAACUAAGUUCUUACCUAUAGAUGUAGUAAUAUAAUUAAUAUGUAUGCCUGUGAUCAUAUGGAUAUAUACAUAUAUAAUCAUGUGCUGCUUUUGUUUUCCAUUGUUUUGGGAAGGAAAUUAAAUAUGGUCCCCUUACCUCAUGUUGAUACUGACUCAUUCUUUUCAUUCAUCCUUGGUUACAGCUGUAUUAAAAGGUAAACACAAAUUUGCCUUCUUUUUGUGUCUUUCGGAAAUAUGUUUCACACAUGAAAACAAGCACUGACAAGAAGCAGGAGGCCCGUGUGCUCAUGAUGUCUGGUUUUGACUCAAGAUUCUGUGACUUAGCAAUGUGAAUUUGGACACACAGCUUCUGAAUGUUCAUGUUCGCGUCUUUGUAAAGAUAAGAACAGUGGGACAAUGAGGCUCAGGCUUUAUAAGAUGGUCAUAUAGUAAGAGGGGAGCUCAUGAAGUGAACUGAGCCAAGGUUUGGAACAUCAUAAGUUCUUCAUGAAGCACUGCUGAUCAAUAAUGGUGCAGUUUUAGGUGCAGCUCAAUGAGAAAUUGUGAUAAAAUCUUGACUAAAAGGGGUGCAGAAAAUAGCUAUUAUGCCGUUGUCUGGGCUGGUAAUGAAUAUGGUUCCUCAUGCUUUCUUAAUUCAGUGUCUAGGUUUUGUUUUUGUUUCCAAUCCUGCCACUAGGAAACUGAUAUUCUUCAACCUUUACACACAGAAGCUGCAUGGAAGGCAUCUGGGGAGAGAACAUUAAGUUUGGUCAACAGAGAUGAUCCUUUCAGAGGAAGGGGUUCUCUUCAGUAGGGCUGAAGGUGAAUCACUGUGUGUGAAACCAGUGUAGUUCCAGAGCCAGACCACGCAGAAAAGCUCCCUGCAGCAACCAGGACUUUUCUGAUUGAACAAGCUCUGUAUCUACAGGUAGACGGAGGCAGGGGUCCUGGGUUAGAUUUUCUGCUGAAUUAAAUGUUUAAUCAGGAAAAUAUUGAAGAACAUCUCUGUCCCUGUCUCUCUCUCUGUGUAUGUGCUUUUGUGUGUGUGUGUAUGUGUGUGUAUGUGUGUGUGUGUGUGUGUGUGUGCGCGCGCGUGUGCGUGCACGCACAUGCACAUGCAUGUACAUGCUUGUAGUAGAAUAAAUUAGUGGGUUUCAAAACUAUUCCUUUGUUUUCUGGCAGUUUGAAUCUUCAUGUAUGUGUUAUACAUGCAAACACUGUGAGCUGCACGCAAGUUUGAAAGACAUUUAACUGUUUGCAAAUUAAGAAGGUUAACAUAUAUGCUUCUGUUGUUAAGGACUUCACUGUGCAUUGCAAACCUGACUGUGCUCUGUGCAGAUUUCCAUGUGUUCUGAUAUGAUAGUGGCCUUCCGCAAUGCUAUGGGACUACUGAAUCACCAAGACAGAAGUCUGGCACCUAAACAGGGCAUGUUGAUACAGGAUUUUGUAUAGUACUAUUUUAAGAUACAGGGAAGAAUGGUCCCUGCCUUAAGAAGUGUGCUUUGCUGGGCCAUUAGUUUUACUUUUCUUGCCCCAAUUAUUCCUUUUUAAAGGGUCAGUGGUCCAAAGGAUUAAUGGACUUUUGCAACUGAAUCCUGAACCUCUAUUUCUAGGUCACACUUUAUAUGAGGACCUUGGAUUCCCUGCCCUGGUGCAGACCCACUUUCAGGGCAUUAGGAUUUGAAUAUGGAUUGACAACUGUGGGCUCCUGUGUGAAAUACUUAGUCCCCAGCUGCUGGAACUGCCUUGAGAGCCCCUGGAAACUCCAGAAGGUGGCCCAUCUGGAGAAAGGAGGUUGUUAUGGACUGGUCUUUAAAAGUGAAUCUGAUCCAAAGCCCCUUUACUCUCUACUUCCUGAUGCCAUGAAGUGAAUGGCUUUCUCUGAAACAACACACUCCCCCUUCCAUAAGAGUCUGCCCAAACAGGGAUGAACAAUCCUGGAGAAAACCCUCUGAAAGCAUAAGGCAAAAAAAGAACUCCUCCUUCAUUAAGAUGUCAAUCCCAGGCACUUUGUCAGAGCAAUGAGAACAGUAAAUAACAGGCAGGGUCUGUAAGCUUCCCUUUCCUGGGCUAGUUCUCUUGCCAUAAUCCUUACCAAUGGCAUCUGUGCCCGGAUCCCUGAGGCGCCAGACUAUGGAGAUAUGAAGAUGCUGUGAAUGUGUUCUCAUGUGAGGGCCCCUGUAAGUACAGACAUGUGAGGAGAUGGGACAAGGGCUGGGGCUUCAUUUUUUUUUUCUCUUCUGUCUCUGUCUUUUCUGUAGCAGCCAACUCCAAGAAUCCCAAAGAUUCUGAAAUGAAGCCCAUGCCUCUGUAGUUAUUAUAAUAUGCUAAUAAAGUUGUAGAUAUAGAAGCUGUGUUAGGAAAUAGUUUCUGCCUUGAUUACUAAUGAAAAUAUUUUUACAUAAAAUGGAACCCCCAGUUCUGUUCUUCCCCUUGGGCUCUUCCAAUGUGAGGGAUAAUUAUAAUUUUGUGUCUUUGUUUCAAGUUGUUUUGUCCUUCUCUCUCUU